rnacentral:rRNA from 1 species
CACGUAGGGUGCAAGCGUUGUCCGGAAUCAUUGGGCGUAAAGAGCUCGUAGGCGGUUUGUCGCGUCCGCUGUGAAAAUCCAGGGCUUAACCCUGGACCUGCAGUGGGUACGGGCAGACUAGAGUGCGGUAGGGGAGAUCGGAAUUCCUGGUGUAGCGGUGAAAUGCGCAGAGAUGUGGAGGAACACCAGUGGCGAAGGCGACUCUUUGGCCUGUAACUGACGCUGAGGCGCGAAAGCGUGGGGAGCAAACAGG